CAGUCGCCGCGGUAAUACGAAGGGGGCUAGCGUUGCUCGGAAUGACUGGGCGUAAAGGGCGCGUAGGCGGAUGGCACAGUCAGAUGUGAAAUUCCCGGGCUUAACCUGGGGGCUGCAUUUGAUACGUGUUGUCUAGAGUGAGGAAGAGGGUUGUGGAAUUCCCAGUGUAGAGGUGAAAUUCGUAGAUAUUGGGAAGAACACCGGUGGCGAAGGCGGCAACCUGGUCCUUGACUGACGCUGAGGCGCGAAAGCGUGGGGAGCAAACAGGAUUAGAUACCCGUGUAGUCCCUGUCUCUUAUAC
rnacentral:rRNA from 1 species